AUUCUAUUGAGACCAUGGUGGCUUUUGCCUCUUUUUGUCACUUACACCUUAAAUUAGCACAUAACACCAUCAAAUUUCAUCUUACAGGCAUACAACACCACGUCCUCACCACCUUUCCCAAUCACCCCACCACCUUUUCUUUCUUCAUACCCAAUCAAAAAUAUUCUAAAAGGAAUCAACAAUACAGACCGGCCUCUUACAACCCAUAGACAAACCCAUAUUCAGGAACAUAUCAGACCUUUUG